CCUACGGGUGGCAGCAGUGGGGAAUAUUGCACAAUGGGCGCAAGCCUGAUGCAGCCAUGCCGCGUGUAUGAAGAAGGCCUUCGGGUUGUAAAGUACUUUCAGCGGGGAGGAAGGUGUUGUGGUUAAUAACCGCAGCAAUUGACGUUACCCGCAGAAGAAGCACCGGCUAACUCCGUGCCAGCAGCCGCGGUAAUACGGAGGGUGCAAGCGUUAAUCGGAAUUACUGGGCAAAAAGCGCACGCAGGCGGUCUGUCAAGUCGGAUGUGAAAUCCCCGGGCUCAACCUGGGAACUGCAUUCGAAACUGGCAGGCUAGAGUCUUGUAGAGGGGGGUAGAAUUCCAGGUGUAGCGGUGAAAUGCGUAGAGAUCUGGAGGAAUACCGGUGGCGAAGGCGGCCCCUUGGACAAAGACUGACGCUCAGGUGCGAAAGCGUGGGGAGCAAACAGGAUUAGAUACCCGUGUAG
rnacentral:rRNA from 1 species